rnacentral:lncRNA from 1 species
CGUGACCUCUGGAAAUGGGUCAGAUUUAUUGUAGCAACGAAUCGUAGCAACACAGAGAGUCCAUGACGACGAUGGUUGCGAGAUCUUAGAUCAUGUGUUGGAAUGCGAGUGUUUGAGAACUUUACAGAUCAAAUAGUUCCGGAGCCGCGCUGUCCUGAGCGAUAAACAUGGGCUGUGGGAGCUCCAAAAUCACGGUGGUUGAACCCGUAAAACCGAGCAGUCUGAACGGAAAUGAGACCGAAACUCUGGAGUUUGUUGUGGCUCAGGGAGGCUCUCGAGGUGACUCUGCAGUGUCCAAAAUGACCACAGAUAGCGGGGUCAGUCUGGAAACAGCAGAGCCAUCGGUUCUACCUGGAUCUGUACCUAGAGUCCUGCCACCGCUACAAGGCCAGAGUCCUGGAGUGGCCCAGCAAACUGAAGAGAGGCCUGAGUCUGGUGAGAUCCUGGAGCAACUGCUUGUUCAAGGAAUCAUUCCAGCUCAACCAAGACACAGAGGAAGUGGGGAAGCCUACAACAUCAUGAUGGAUGAUGUUGGGAAGCCAAGGAGAAGACCACCCGCUCGGCUAGAGUCACUGAAAAUUAGCAAAGAGCAAGAAGUCACCAGAAAGGAAGACAUUGAGGUGAAGAUGAGACAAGUGGAGGAGAGGAGAAAGGAGAAAGAGGAGGACCUGAAACACAGGUUGAGGAUUAAAUCAGCGCGGCCACGUGUCGCUGCCCCAGUGACCGCAGAGGGGGAACUCGACCUCACGGAACUGCUCCAUUCUGAACAGCUUCCUGUCCCAACCAGAACCAAACAGCUACAGACGCCAAUCAAUGGAGAGUCUGAGGACCAAAGGCUUACUGAUUCCCCAGAACUGGAAAAUGACUCCACCUUCCAACAGACUGAAGACACAGAUGAGGGAUUUUAAACCUGCUGCUUAUGUGUGUUUCAGAAUGACACAUGCAGGAUAACCUGCCUCCAUACGUACAGAAGCAGCUUGAUCUAGUGAUGUUUUGCUAAUGUACAUUCUUAGAGUUGCACAUGCACUUUACAUGUUAUUCACGUUAUUAAUCUUGUUUAUUUUAAUACAAGGUAUGGCUCAGAUCAAAUUCUGAGCUUGGGUUUUACAUAAUUAUAUAGAAAAAGAAAUGGAAAUAUGUGCCUAAUAAGUGUAAACAGGUUGAUGCAGUCAUUAUGUAGGUAGCAGAACAAUGAUUAGAAGGGUUAACAAUUCAGCAUGAUAUAUAUGUAUGAGUUAGUUGCCAAUGAGAUAUUUCUUUCAUAGUGCUCAUAUGUUUUGAAUCUUAAGAACAUUAUUCUUGUAUGAUAUACACCAUUCAAAAGUUUGGGGCAAGUAAGAUUUUUAAAUGUUUUUGUAUAAAGGUCUGUUGUGCUCACCAAGGCUGCAUUUAUUUGAUCAAAAAUACAGUAAAAAUAGAAAUACAUCUAAUAUGCUGAUUUUUUGCUCAAGUAACAUCUCCUAUUAUUAUUAUCCACGUUGAAAACAGUUAUUCUGCUUAAUCUUCAUGUGGAAGUCAUGAUACAUUUUCCCCAGGAUUCUUAGAUGAAUAGAAAUUUCAAAAGAACAGCAUUUACUUGAAAUAGAAAUAUUUUGUAACAUUCAUUUAUAAAUGACUGUACUGUGACUUUUGAUCAAUUUAAUGCAUCCUUGCUGAAUGAAAGUAUUAAUUUCUUACUAAGCCCA